GAAGACGGCGGCGGGGAGGGUGGAAAGCUCGUUGUCGUAGAGCCACAGCUCCCGCAGUGGUGCAGCUGGAGGUCAAGCAGCCGAGAGAGAGAACUGCCCACUCCCUGCAGCCCUGGCACAUGAGCAGGGCUCUCAUGGCCUUAUCACGCCCUUAUCGCCUACUCUGCCUGCCUGCCACCAGCGGCAGCACUGCUGGGUUCCUGCCGGCUGACUCAUCGCAGAAGCACACAGCUUUUCAGCAAGGCAACACGGGAAUGAAAUCCCAGAACUUCCGAAAAACCACCGAGCUGGGUCCCGCAGAGGAAUGUCAGACUUGGCUCCUUCCGAGCAGCAGGGGCGCAGCGGCGGAUGCCCUCAAGCACCCUGCUCCCCAGGAUGGGGGUGAUCAGGCUGUGGUCCCCACGGCCACACGGAGCACCCGAAGUGUCACAGUAGCCCAGGAAACAGCCCUGCCAAAAACCCAGCUGCCUUUGCCUGGGCUCUGGCUUCUGGCUGGGAAGGAAGAAUCUGUUUUCAACAUAACCCUAAAAAUAAAGUAAGGCUGAGUAACA